CCAAGAGGUGAGCACCAUAGAGGUAACUUUUUCACCUGAGCUGCUUGUCUACACAUGGGGCACUUCUGUCUGACUAACAUCUCUCCUCCCCUGCUGCCUCCCCAGGAAUUGUCUCCUGCCCUGAAGCCCCAAACUCCACACCUUUCCUUAGAUAGUUGUGUGUGUGUGUGUGUGUGUGUGUGUGUGUGUGUGUGUGUGUGUGUGUGUGUUGUGUGGUCAGUUGCUCAGUUGUGUCCAACUCUUUGCCACCUCAUAGACUGUAGCCUGCCAGGCUCCCCUGUCCACGGAAUUUUCCAGGCAAGAAUACUGGCAUGGGUUGACAUUUCCUCCUCCAGGGGAUCUUCUCAACCCAGGGAUCGAACCUCAUCUCUUGCAUCUCCUGCAUUAAGAAGAGGGUUCUUUACCACUAGGGAUGUUACCUAAGCCUCAGCCAACUGCCUAUCUUCUGAGUUUCAUAUCUUUGUGUGACUCUCAUACAUACAUAGUUAAUUAAUUUUUUUCUCCUCUUUACAGGAACACUUCAGUCAAGAACUCAGAAGCAUAGUGGAAGAAUUAUUUGCACUAUACGGGUCCUAAAUCAGUUGUCAGCAUGAAUGUUUAAAUGAAUGAGGCUUCCCAUUUCUCUUCCAUGAAGAGAAGUAUCUGGGUUGUCAUUUCUUAUGAUGCCGAAGAUGGAAAAGCUCAUUACAGUCAGCAAAAACAAGACCAGGAACAUACUGUGGCUCAGAUCAUGAACUCCUUAUUGCAAAAUUCAGACUUAAAUUGAAGAAAGUAGGGAAAACCACUAGACCAUUCAGGUAGGACCUAAAUCAAAUCCCUUAUGAUUAUACAGUGGAAGUGACAAAUAGAUUCAAGGGAUUAGAUGUCAUAGACAGAGUGCCUGAAGAACUAUGGACAGAGGUUCGUGACAUUGUACAGGAGGCAGGGAUCAAGGCCAUCCCAAAGAAAAAGAAAUGAAAAAAGGCAAAAUGGUUGUCUGAGGAGUCCUUACAAAUAGCUGAGAAAAGAAGAGAAGCUAAAGGCAAAGAAGAAAAGGAAAGAUAUAAGCAUCUGAAUGCAGAGUUCCAAAGAAUAGCAAGAAGAGAUAAGAAAGCCUUCCUCAGUGAUCAGUGCAAAGAAAUAGAGGAAAACAAUAGAAUGGGAAAGACUACAGAUCGCUUCAAGAAAAUUAGAGAUACCAAGGGAACAUUUCAUGCAAAGAUAAGCACAAUAUAGGGCAGAAAUGGUAUGGACCUAACAGAAGCAGAAGAUAUUAAGAAGAGGUGGCAAGAAUACACAGAAGAACUAUACACAAAAGAUUCUUAAUGACCCAGAUAACCACUGGGUUAAGUAAUGUUGUGAUCACUCACCUAGAGCCAGAAUGUGAAGUCAAGUGGGCCUUAGGAAGCAUCACUAUGAACAAAG
ensembl:lncRNA